UAGGGAAUCUUCCACAAUGGGCGCAAGCCUGAUGGAGCAACACCGCGCGAGUGAAGAAGGGUUUCGGCUCGUAAAGCUCUGUUGUUAAAGAAGAACACGUAUGAGAGUAACUGUUCAUACGUUGACGGUAUUUAACCAGAAAGUCACGGCUAACUACGUGCCCG
rnacentral:rRNA from 1 species